rnacentral:ncRNA from 1 species
UGGGAUUAAAUUAAUAAAGCUUAUAUAUGGCUAUAAUAUGGUUAGCCGUCUCUACCUGAUACCAAAAAUUAUCAGACUAUAAGUAAAAACAAGGGUAUU